CUCUGUAGGUAAGAUUCGACAUUGAAGAAACACGUUAUAGGACGGCUGAAAUACAGUCCUUACGUAUUAAAAUUUUUAUUGACUGCCCUUUAUAACACUUUGUUUUUCUAUAAAUUAAGCAAAUAUUAAUUGUUGAGCUUUAUUUGUUGAUUUUCAUUUAAUUUUGGACUUUAGUGUACGGGUCGAAGCGUUACUUCGUACAGUCCGCCUUACUUAAUAUUUCCUUUUCUGACAAUAUCGGUCCAUCAAGUCGAGACGACAGUUUUUGACAAGGUCCUUGUUAUUCUUCGUUUGCUGGAAAUCUUAGUAGACGAUGCAGGCGAUUAAGUGUGUCGUGGUGGGUGACGGUGCGGUGGGUAAAACAUGUUUGCUGAUCAGCUACACUACCAAUGCCUUCCCAGGCGAAUACAUUCCUACAGUGUUUGACAAUUACUCUGCGAAUGUUAUGGUAGAUGGUAAGCCAAUAAACCUUGGCCUUUGGGAUACGGCUGGUCAAGAAGAUUACGAUAGAUUGCGGCCACUUUCGUACCCACAGACUGAUGUUUUCUUGAUCUGCUUCUCGCUGGUCAAUCCAGCAAGUUUUGAGAAUGUUCGAGCCAAAUGGUAUCCUGAGGUUCGUCAUCAUUGUCCAGCUACACCCAUAAUUUUGGUUGGCACUAAGUUAGAUCUGCGUGAAGACAAAGAAACUAUUGAAAGAUUAAAAGAUAAGAAACUGGCACCUAUAACAUAUCCUCAGCAGGGCUCACACCUUGGCACGAUUGACGGUCACAUAUUAUGUGGCAUAUCGCGGACACCGUGUGAGGACAUUGUAGGGAUUUACGUACCACCUGCAAGUCGUACGGGCACUGUAUUGGUAGUCCAGCAGACAUAUCGCUCUCUCACGCCGGGCAGCCUGCGUGCUACAUCACGCAUUGUUAUCUAGGAUAUUUCAUACAGCAUUAGGAUCUCCGAGGGAAACAUCCCUUAUUUCUCAUAAAGAAAAAUGCAUUUUAAGAGGGUCAACUACGCCUUAUUAGUGUUUACCUUUCUUUGAAAAAAUAUUUGUACGUUAAGAUAACAAUUGAUGCGCAGGAUGCGCGCACUAUGGAGGCAUGUGUGCGGAUUAAUCCGCCUGACGUGCGUUUUGAUCAGCACUCAGAUGCGCCAUCCAUGGAGGCUCAUAUGCGACGCACGCCAUACGAGGCACGCGCGUGUGUGAAUGAAGCAAACACUCGGUGCGCGUGGGUUGACUAUCCUAAAAU